UUCUUCCCUUCUUUUUUGGACUUGCUGUGGUUUGGGGUCAUGGAGAAGAAUUGGGAUCCUGGGGAUGUGGCGAAGGCAGUCAUGGAGAAGAAUUGAGAGUCCUAGCUUUAUUGAUCAGGCUCUCCUGCAAGAUGUUUCUUUUGCUGCUAGUAUUCAAUGAAGUUCAUUCAGUUUCCCAUCAAAAAAAAAAAAAAAAAAUUCACCGAUUAAACUCUCUGUUUCACGUAAGCCUACUGUUUGUAAAACAAUUUGGCUCAUCGAACAGAAUGGGUAGAGAGAGAGAACUCCAUUAUAGAGAGAAACUUGAACUUGGAUAGAAAGUUAGGCUACUGCCCAAAAAUAAAACCUAGUUGCCUAAGUGAAACACAGUUUUAUUAAUAGUGACGUUUUCCAUUAAUCCAUUCAAAAUUACUUUUUUCCAUCUGGGUUUUCGAUUUUAACUUCUGGGUUUUCUUGUUCCUGUUCUUGUUCUUCUUCCAUUGGUGGUUUGCAUAUAUACAUAUAUGUUUCUUUGUGUGUCUCUCUCUCACAUAGCUGCAGCCUCGUCUGUUACAUCUCCGCUGUGCACGUGGCUUGUGGCUGCUUGCAUGUCGGUCACCGGCAAAUGGGGUCGGUGGAAGAGGGUGUUCUUGUAUAAAUGUAGCUCCGAAUUGCAGAGCCAGGGGGACUUGAUUUCCUGGAUCCAGCUUUCAGGGCCUCAUGACUUCUUGCCUCGCUUCCUUUUCCUCUCUCUUCGGAUCCAGCAAUGUUUGUGUUCCUUCAAAUCGGAGACACACCCGUUUCAAUCGAGCCGUCCAUUCAGGGGAAGCUAUGGCUGUUGCUGUGCAACCUUCCAAGGAAGUCGCAACAAAAAAGAAACCAGUCACAAAGCAAAGGCGAGUAGUUGUGACAGGGAUGGGUAUGGUGACCCCACUUGGUCAUGAUCCAGAUGUCUUCUACAAUAAUUUGCUUGAGGGUGUCAGUGGCGUAAGUGAGAUAGAGGCUUUUGAUUGUGCCCAAUUUCCAACGAGAAUUGCUGGAGAGAUCAAGUCUUUUUCAACUGAUGGAUGGGUUGCACCAAAACUUUCCAAGAGGAUGGACAAAUUUAUGCUUUACUUGCUUACUGCUGGGAAAAAAGCCUUGGCAGAUGGUGGAAUUACAGAAGAUGUAAUGAAUGAAUUAGAUAAGGCCAGAUGUGGAGUUUUGAUUGGCUCAGCAAUGGGUGGCAUGAAGGUUUUUAAUGAUGUGAUUGAAGCCUUAAGGAUCUCAUACAAGAAGAUGAAUCCUUUCUGCACACCAUUUGCAACUACAAAUAUGGGUUCUGCCAUGCUUGCAAUGGAUCUGGGAUGGAUGGGGCCAAACUAUUCUAUCUCUACUGCUUGUGCUACAAGCAAUUUUUGCAUAAUGAAUGCAGCAAACCAUAUCAUUAGAGGUGAAGCUGAUGUGAUGCUUUCUGGUGGCUCAGAUGCAAUGAUUAUACCUAUCGGCUUGGGAGGUUUAGUGGCAUGCAGAGCACUUUCCCAGAGGAACAGUGAUCCCACAAAAGCAUCGCGCCCUUGGGACAGUAAUCGUGAUGGAUUUGUUUUGGGUGAAGGAGCCGGGGUUUUGCUCUUAGAAGAAUUAGAGCAUGCUAAGAGGAGAGGUGCAAAUAUCUAUGCAGAAUUUCUUGGUGGAAGCUUCACUUGUGAUGCUUAUCACGUGACUGAACCACAUCCUGAUGGGGCUGGCGUUAUCCUUUGCAUAGAAAAGGCAUUAGCUCAGUCUGGGGUAUCUAGGGAAGAUGUGAAUUACAUAAAUGCACAUGCUACAUCCACACCAGCUGGAGACCUAAAAGAGUAUCAAGCACUUCUUCAAUGUUUUGGCCAGAAUCCUGAGUUAAGAGUGAAUUCUACAAAAUCUAUGAUUGGUCACCUAUUAGGAGCAGCUGGUGCGGUGGAAGCUGUUGCAGCGAUACAGGCAAUACGAACAGGGUGGGUUCAUCCUAAUGUCAACUUGGAAAACCCAGAUGAAGGGGUGGAUAAAAAUGUGCUGGUGGGCCCAAAGAAAGAGAGACUGAACGUUAAGGCAGCGUUGUCUAAUUCAUUUGGGUUUGGUGGUCACAAUUCAUCAAUCAUAUUUGCUCCUUACAAGUGAAAGACCUGGCAGGCUACUCCAACCUUGCUGUAAUGCUGAAGGUUUGCUGUUAGUAUUGAUGGGCUGGCAACAUCUUGGAGUUGGUGAAUAGUCAUGAAAUGUUCCUGUGUACCAAUCGUCAAUUUGUUUAGUUGCAUGGCCUCAUGCAAUAGAAUUACUUUGGGACGGCUGGUCAGGAAAGAAGAUGGAUGGCCCUGGAUUGAGAUAGAGAAAGCUUCAAAAUUAACGUGUUGGUUAUCAUGAAAUACUCUUGCUUCCAUUGUUGUUAUAAGUUUUUCCUUCUAUCAUAGACAAAGCUAUAAGUAGGGCUUGAUAUACUUGAUACUUGCCAUUGAAAUUUGAACCACCACUACCUGGCAGUAUUGGCCUGUUUAAGUUUUGUUUUUCAUGUACAUUUAGAUGGCUGCUCUAAUUGUAUUGAUAGCCAUUUGUAAUGAAUUUUGAGUUGGCAGU